UCCUCCUCUUUCCUUCCCAUAGAACAUCAACCUAGUACGGGAUGUGACACAUUCUACUACUACGGAUCUAGACAUACAUCUGUCCAGAUUCGUUAUACUAGAAUGUGUUACAUCCAAUCGUAGAUUCAUUUUUUGUGGGGACGAAGGGAG
rnacentral:misc_RNA from 1 species